UACGGAGGGUGCAAGCGUUAUCCGGAUUCACUGGGUUUAAAGGGAGCGCAGGCGGACUGGUAAGUCAGUGGUGAAAGCCCUGGGCUCAACCCGGGAACUGCCAUUGAUACUAUCAGUCUUGAAUAUCGUUGAGGUUUGCGGAAUGGGUCAUGUAGCGGUGAAAUGCGUAGAUAUCGGAAGGAACAUCAGUGGCGAAAGCGACUUCCUGGACCAGUACCGACGUUCAGGCACGAAAGCGUGGGGAGCAAACAGG
rnacentral:rRNA from 1 species